AUAGAUUCACAUAAUUUAUUUAAUUAGUCAUCUAUAUGCUAUGCAGGAGAUUCUUGUAGCAAUGCAGAAGGACACUUCAGCUGCUCCUACAAAAAGAGAGAACAAAAUCAGAAUUUGAAGAAAUAUCAAAGUCAGAAUUCCAUCAGGUAAAACAAGUAAUCAGAACAAAAGAAAUUCUGCAGAAGCUGUUGAAAAGAACAGAAAUCUAACUGUUACAGUUAAUAAAAGUAAAUCACAACCUACAAAAGUUUCAUCUGCGGUUCCAGAAGGGACGCAACCUUUAACAGAUUCAUCUUCAAGAAGAAGGGAAAGUUCACCGGAUCAUCGGUCUGAAACACAUUGGAUUAAAUGGGAAGGUGAUGAUGAUGAAAGUGACGAUGAUGAUCAAAUCGGGCAUGUUUGUCCGCUUUGUGAGAAAGAUCUUGCAUACGCACCGACAGCUCCAGAGAUAGAGUUGGAGGUUUAUGAUCUUCCGGAGGUUGCAAUUCUUCCAUGCGGUCAUACAUUACAUACACAGUGUUUGGAGAUGGCAGGGUACGACGGAACCUUAAAAGAUCCAGAUUGCUUUUUGUGUCAUGUAGGAUUGUGAACCAUCGAAAAAAUAACACAAACAUCAUACCAUGAUUUAGUAAAAAGUUAGAUUUAAUUUUUUAGUUUUUUCUUCUCUUCUAUUUUUUUUACUGCUACCAAGGUGUAAA